GGAUCAAUUUAUCGGUCGUGCCAAUGGUAUGAACUGGUACAAUUGGUUUCUCCCUUCUGACGAAGCAUGAUGUCAUUAAUUUGGUGUCGUGGGGAAUCAGGACUGUUACUUUGAAAAAAUUAGAGUGUUUAAAGCAAGCAUUAGCUUGAAUACAUUAGCAUGGAAUAAUGAAAUAGGACGUUUGAUCCUAUUUCGUUGGUUUCUAGGAUCGACGUAAUGAUUAAUAGGGAUAGUUGGGGGCAUUAGUAUUCAAUUGUCAGAGGUGAAAUUCUUGGAUUUAUUGAAGACUAACUACUGCGAAAGCAUUUGCCAAGGAUGUUUUCAUUAAUCAAGAACGAAAGUUAGGGGAUCGAAGACGAUCAGAUACCGUCGUAGUCUUAACCAUAAACUAUGCCGACUAGGGAUCGGAUGAUGUUAAUUUUUUAAUGACUCAUUCGGCGCCUUACGGGAAACCAAAGUGUUUGGGUUCCGGGGGGAGUAUGGUCGCAAGGCUGAAACUUAAAGGAAUUGACGGAAGGGCACCACCAGGGGUGGAGCCUGCGGCUUAAUUUGACUCAACACGGGGAAACUCACCAGGUCCAGACAUAGUAAGGAUUGACAGAUUGAGAGC
rnacentral:rRNA from 1 species